AGGGGUAUUGCUUAGUGGUAGAGCAUUCGACUGCAGAUCGAGAGGUCCUCGGUUCAAAUCUGGGAGCCCUUU